CAUUCGAAUGACAAAAAACUAGAUUGUUACCGAAAGUCAGCAGUUUUCUUGUACGAGCGGCAUGGUAUGAUUUUUUUUUUCUGGUCAUUAUUUUUUAUGUGGGAGGUUUUAUAUGGUAUUAGCUAGUAAACUUUUCAGACCCGGACAUUAGUUUUUUAUUUAGUUGUUCGGAUUGACUUCGUAUAGACUAUACAUCUAGUGUAGGUGAAGUUGAUAUUGUUCAUCCUAUGACAAUGCAUCAGUAAAAUUGGCAACAGUUUGAUGAAAUUAACCGGGUGAAAGUCAGUAAAUAAAGGAUCAAUCAAACUGAAUUCUGAUCAAAUCGAAGAGUUGAUGGAUGAAAAUAGAAACAAGCGUUUACUGUGAUUGAAAUUGAAAAACUUUAAAUUUCUUCUCAAUAGAUUUUUUGGUAUUUGCUUUCUUAUGGUUAGGCGCAAUGAACCAGCCGGUUGAGUUUAAAUGACAAAACAAAAGCACUACAGGAAAACCUUUAAGGGGCUCUGAGAGCGAUAAUGGACGUUUUGUAGAAUCUUACUCUUGAGUAUGUAGACGAUAUGAUACGUAUCGUCAAAAUGAAUCGAGUGAUAAUAUGGUGAAUGCUGAAGUAUUGGACGAUUCCAGAUAUUAUAGAUACGAUGUAUUGUAGAAUAAUUAACUAAUGUAAAAAUAUAAAUCAAAAAUAGA